rnacentral:lncRNA from 1 species
AUUUCUUGAAAUUAGGCUCCACCCAUGAAUAGGGUUUAAGAAACAUACUAUGAACAUUGUUUUUCAUUUUCGAAAAGGUUUAGCAGAAAUUCAUCCGCAAACCGUCAUAACUUACGGGCACGGAGGGUGAUCAGCCCCGUUGUACACUGUAUUGAUCAAUACUACAUAACUUGAACGACGAUUCAUCGUUCACUAAAUCUGCCUCGGGCGCAAAAAUUUUCCCAUAUAGGGAUGUUCAUACAUGUCUGGUUCCAAACCCGAAGGUUUUUAAUCUUGCUCAACAAUAAUAUGUAAUUCAACAUAUAUAUAUAUAUAUACGGGUAAUUGAAAAAGUGUAUCAACAUGUGAAUAAAUGCCAUGAUUAUCCAAGUGGGGACACUCGUAUAACCAUUUAAAAAUUAAGGAACAGAAUAUAUAUCUGAGCUAACAUGUUGAUAAUCAAAGCGUACAUAAUCUGUACAGGAAUAGAAUAAUUCUGAAACUUCUUACUCAUGUCAAUUGCAUAAAGAAAAUGCAAAGGUAAGAUACUUGCCUGAUUUGCUGAUUACGAAUCUCAACUUAGGUUUUAUCUCUUUAUCACAACCUAUCAAUAAUCAGAUCAUUCGUUCGAUUAGAACAAUAUAUCAUAACACAUAGUACUGUCUAUUACAGUCAGCACAUAGUCUAAUCACGUCAUCACAUAAUCGCAGUGAUCAUACUUUUAGUUCAUAUUCUGUAUUUGAAAUAUUUUUUUAUACAUUUUUCAAAUAUCUUAUCCAUGUUUUUACAGUAGCCUUUUCUUUCUUUUAUAAGGUCUGACAUUUGUCGGCGUACCGACAGCUUUAUCGGGUAAUUACUGAGUCUAAG